GUCCUAGCCAUAAACGAUGAUAACUAGGUGUGGGAGGUAUCGACCCCUUCCGCGCCGACGCUAACGCAUUAAGUUAUCCGCCUGGGGAGUACGGCCGCAAGGUUAAAACUCAAAGGAAUUGACGGGGGCCCGCACAAGCGGUGGAGCAUGUGGUUCAAUUCGACGCUACGCGAAGAACCUUACCUGGGCUCGAAGUGCUGGAGUUGUAGCCUGCGUGAAAGCGCGGGCGAACCGCAAGGUUGACAGCAUAGGUGCUGCAUGGCUGUCGU
rnacentral:rRNA from 1 species